rnacentral:rRNA from 1 species
UACGUAGGGUGCGAGCGUUAAUCGGAAUUACUGGGCGUAAAGCGUGCGUAGGCGGUUUGCCGUGUCCUGUGUGAAAGCCCCGGGCUCAACCUGGGAAUUGCAUGGGAAACUGGCAGGCUUGAGUGUGGCAGAGGAGGGUGGAAUUCCGCGUGUAGCAGUGAAAUGCGUAGAGAUGCGGAGGAACACCGGUGGCGAGGGCGGGUCUCUGGGCCGAUACUGACGCUGAGGAGCGAAAGCAUGGGUAGCGAACAGG